CUCACAUCUGAGAGUGACUCGGGAUAAGCUGGAGUGACCAGCCAGGGAUCCUCCUGCACAGACUGGGUCUAAGGACUGGGUCUAACGGUGCUUCUGCCCCAGGGGUUGCUUCAGGGAGACACCCCCUCUCCCAUUAGCAAGGCACAAAUCCACUUGGCUUUGCUAAAAAAUUUAAUCCACACACAGCAGAAUGUUUAAAAAAGUCACCAGACACAUUGCAAGUCAAAUACAUCCAAACCAAGAAUGGGUCCCUGUCGAGAGCAUCGCAGACCAGGAGCACUUCAGACCCUUGUGUCUUCUGAUACAAAAAAGAAAACAAAAUACCAUAUUCCACUCACGUCCCUACUACCAGUGUACAGGGUUUAGUCUGGACGAUGUGCUGCUGCCUGAAGAAGAUGGGAAAAGCACAGAGUCCCUCCUUCCCUCGGGAGAUGGUCCAGAUUCCAGCCAAUUCGCUCUCACAAAGGUCACUGCUGACAAAGUCAAGGGAGAUCUCAGCAUUAAUCCAGGUAUGGAGCUGAAAG